rnacentral:rRNA from 1 species
GUCUUAUUGAUAUUUAAAUAGUAAGUUUAUUCUGCCCAUUGAAUUAAAUUUAAAAGGCUGCAGUAUAUUGACUGUACAAAGGUAGCAAAAUCAAUAGUUUUUUAAUUGGAAACUUGUAUGAAGGAAUUAAUAAAAUAUAAACUGUCUUAAGUUAAUUAAAUUUUAAUUUAAAUUUAAAGUUAAAAUACUUUAAUAAAUUUAUUAGACGAUAAGACCCUAAGAAUUUUAAAUUGUUUAUUUAUAAUUAAUAAAUUUAAGUUUAAAUUAAUAGAUAAAUUAUUUUUUAUUGGGAGGGUAAUUAAAUUUUUAAACUUUAAUUUAUAAAAACGUUGAUAAUUGAAUAUAAUGAUAAUUUUUAUAAUUAUAAGAAAUAAUUACCUUAGGGAUAACAGCGUAAUAAUUUUGGAGAGUUCAUAUUAAUAAAAUUGUUUGCGACCUCGAUGUUGAAUUAAAAUAAAAAUUAAGUGAAGAAGCUUAAAAUUUUAGUCUGUUCGACUAUUAAAAUUUUACA